rnacentral:rRNA from 1 species
GAUGAACGCUGGCGGCGUGCCUAAUACAUGCAAGUCGAGCGAACAGACCAUGAUCUUGCUCCUCUGACGUUAGCGGCGGACGGGUGUGUCACACGUGGAUACCCUCCCUAUAUGACUGGGAUAACUUCGGGAAACCGGCUCUAAUACCGUAUAAUAUAUUUAACCGCAUGGUUCAUUAGUGAAUUACGGUUUUGCUGUCUCUUAUCGCUGGUUCCGGGCCGCAUUAGAUAGUUGUUACGGUAACGGCUUACCAAGGCAACGAUGCGUAGCCGACCGGAGAGGGGGAUCGGCGACACUGGAAGGGAGACAGGGACAAGACUACUACGGGAGGGAGCAGUAGGGAAUGGUACGCAAUGGGCGAAAGCAUGACGGAGCAACGCCGAGUGAGAGAUGAAGGUGUUCGGAGCGGAAAACUCUGUUAUGAGGGAAGAACAAAUGUGUAAGGAACGAUGCACGUAUUGACGGUAACGAAUAAGAAAGCAACGGCUAACUACGUG